UGUAAAGUGAAUUUAUUUUCUAUCUACUACACAUGUAACAACCAAAAUAACCGGUUAAACCGGUAGAUCACAAUAAAAUGAAAAGACAAUUUGUGCCAUGUCAGAGCCAAUUAACCUUUCUUCACCAUUCACGAAGACCCUGGAGCACCCAAACCGGUCCCCUGCAAAAGUUAGCAUAGUGGUCUCUACAUUUUUUGAACUUCUAUUGGAUUUCAUUAUUUUUGCUCGUUGUUGGAGCUCAUCAAAGGGUGAGAAUCAGGAGUUCUUGUUGACUGGUAUGGCAGGAACUUUUACAAAUCUGUGUCGAUCAUAGAAUCUGGAGGGUUGGAGUCUGGAGAUGGGACCAAAUCCACCUAGUUCACUGCUUGAAGAUACAACUUUUCUGGGUGACUAAUGAGCGGAUAAUUUAUACGCUUUUUGGCAUUGUUUUUAGGUAAUUUCUGGCUGAAAUUGAGGGACUUGAGCAAAACUCUGAAAAAGGCUGACAAAAGGACUGCUGAUGCUGUUAGAAUCUGACCUCCCUGCACUCAAAAUGGAUUUUCUGGAGCUACAAAACUUCAAAUGGCGUGAUCUCAAUGGCGUUGGAAAGUAGACAUCCAGAGCUUUCCAUCAAUAUAUAAUAGUCCAUACUUCAUUCGGGAAUUGACGACGUAAAUUGGCGUUGAACGCCAAUUACAUGCUGCUGUCUGGAGUUAAACGCCAGAAACACGUCAUAACCCGGAGUUGAACGCCCAAAACACGUUAUAACUCGGCGUUCAACUCCAAGAAAAGCCUCAGCUCGUGGAUAAAUCAAGCUCAGCCCAAGCAUACACCAAGUGGGCUCCGGAAGUGCAUUUAUGCAUCAAUUACUUACUCAUGUAAACCCUAGUAGCUAGUCUAGUAUAAAUAGGAUAAUUUACUAUUGUAUUAGACGUCUUUUGACCACGUUUCAUCUUUGGUCUCAGUUUUGUUUUAUUCUUCAUCUUAGGAGGCCAUUGAGCACGUUUUAGGGGGCUGGCCAUUCGGCCAUGCCUAAACCUUUC